CACGUAGGGCGCGAGCGUUGUCCGGAAUUAUUGGGCGUAAAGAGCUCGUAGGCGGCCUGUUGCGUCCGCUGUGAAAGCCCGGGGCUUAACCCCGGGUCUGCAGUGGAUACGGGCAGGCUAGAGGUAGGUAGGGGAGAAUGGAAUUCCCGGUGUAGCGGUGAAAUGCGCAGAUAUCGGGAGGAACACCGGUGGCGAAGGCGGUUCUCUGGGCCUUACCUGACGCUGAGAAGCGAAAGCGUGGGGAGCGAACAGG
rnacentral:rRNA from 1 species